UACGGAGGGUGCAAGCGUUAUCCGGAUUCACUGGGUUUAAAGGGCGCGUAGGCGGCCCGUCAAGUCCCGUGUGAAAGCCCCCGGCUCAACCGGGGAACGGCGCGGGAAACUAGCAGGCUUGAGUUCGGGAGAGGGAAGCGGAAUUCCGGGUGUAGCGGUGAAAUGCGUAGAUAUGCGGAGGAACACCGAUGGCGAAGGCAGUCCCCUGGGCCUGCACUGACGCUCAUGCACGAAAGCGUGGGGAGCAAACAGG
rnacentral:rRNA from 1 species